rnacentral:misc_RNA from 1 species
GAUGAAGAACGCAGCGAAAUGCGAUAAGUAAUGUGAAUUGCAGAAUUCAGUGAAUCAUCGAAUCUUUGAACGCACAUUGCGCCCGCCAGUAUUCUGGCGGGCAUGCCUGUUCGAGCGUCAUUACAACCCUCAGGCCCCCGGGCCUGGCGUUGGGGAUCGGCGGAAGCCCCCUGCGGGCACAACGCCGUCCCCCAAAUACAGUGGCGGUCCCGCCGCAGCUUCCAUUGCGUAGUAGCUAACACCUCGCAACUGGAGAGCGGCGCGGCCACGCCGUAAAACACCCAACUUCUGAAUGUUGACCUCGAAUCAGGUAGGAAUACCCGCUGAACUUACGCAUAUCAAUAAGCGGAGGA